UGGGGAAUAUUGGACAAUGGGCGCAAGCCUGAUCCAGCCAUGCCGCGUGAGUGAAGAAGGCCUUAGGGUUGUAAAUCUCUUUCACCGGUGAAGAUGAUGACGGUAGCCGGAGAAGAAUCACCGGCUAACUCCGUGCCAGCAGCCGCGGUAAUACAGAGGGUGCGAACGUUGCUCGGAUUUACUGGGCGUAAAGCGCGUGUAGGCGGACUCGCAAGUCGGUUGUGAAAUCCCUGGGCUCAACCUAGGAACUGCAUCCGAAACUGCUUGUCUUGAGUAAUGGAGAGGGUGGCGGAAUUCCCGGUGUAGAGGUGAAAUUCGUAGAUAUCGGGAGGAACAUCAGUGGCGAAGGCGGCCACCUGGACAUUCACUGACGCUGAGACGCGAAAGCGUGGGGAGCAAACAGGAUUAGAUACCCGUGUAGUCC
rnacentral:rRNA from 1 species